CCUACGGGUGGCAGCAGUAGGGAAUUUUCCACAAUGGACGAAAGUCUGAUGGAGCAACGCCGCGUGCAGGAUGAAGGCCUUCGGGUCGUAAACUGCUUUUAUCUGUGACGAUUAUGACGGUAGCAGAUGAAUAAGGAUCGGCUAACUCCGUGCCAGCAGCCGCGGUCAUACGGAGGAUCCAAGCGUUAUCCGGAAUUACUGGGCGUAAAGAGUUGCGUAGGUGGCAGAGUAAGUAGAUAGUGAAAGCGUGUGGCUCAACCAUACUCACAUUAUCUAAACUGCUCAGCUAGAGGACGAGAGAGGUCGUUGGAAUUUCUAGUGUAGGAGUGAAAUCCGUAGAUAUUAGAAGGAACACCGAUGGCGUAGGCAGACGACUGGCUCGUUCCUGACACUAAGGCACGAAAGCGUGGGGAGCAAACGGGAUUAGAUACCCCUGUAGU
rnacentral:rRNA from 1 species